CUCCUAAAAGCUGGUUUUGAGAGGAAGAUUUUUAGUUGUCUUCGUCAGCUCACACUAUGUGGGAGAAUAAAAACCAUACUCUGCAGUGAACUGUAUGCUGUCUAUGCAAGUCAUUACUGUUUUGUGGCCUAGAAG
rnacentral:snoRNA from 1 species